AUGAACGCUGGCGGCGUGCCUAAUACAUGCAAGUCGAGCGAACGGACGAGAAGCUUGCUUUUCUGAUGUUAGCGGCGGACGGGUGAGUAACACGUGGAUAACCUACCUAUAAGACUGGGAUAACUUCGGGAAACCGGAGCUAAUACCGGAUAAUAUUUUGAACCGCAUGGUUCAAAAGUGAAAGACGGUCUUGCUGUCACUUAUAGAUGGAUCCGCGCUGCAUUAGCUAGUUGGUAAGGUAACGGCUUACCAAGGCAACGAUGCAUAGCCGACCUGAGAGGGGGAUCGGCCACACUGGAACUGAGACACGGUCCAGACUCCUACGGGAGGAAGCAGUAGGGAAUCUUCCGCAAUGGGCGAAAGCCUGACGGAGCAACGCCGCGUGAGUGAUGAAGGUCUUCGGAUCGUAAAACUCUGUUAUUAGGGAAGAACAUAUGUGUAAGUAACUGUGCACAUCUUGACGGUACCUAAUCAGAAAGCCACGGCUAACUACGUG
rnacentral:rRNA from 1 species